rnacentral:rRNA from 1 species
CCUACGGGGGGCAGCAGUGGGGAAUAUUGGGCAAUGGGCGCAAGCCUGACCCAGCAACGCCGCGUGAAGGCAGAAGGCUUUCGGGUUGUAAACUUCUUUUAAGGGGGAAGAGCAGAAGACGGUACCCCUUGAAUAAGCCACGGCUAACUCCGUGCCAGCAGCCGCGGUAAUACGUAGGUGGCAAGCGUUGUCCGGAUUUACUGGGUGUAAAGGGCGUGCAGCCGGAGAGACAAGUCAGAUGUGAAAUCCACGGGCUCAACCCGUGAACUGCAUGUGAAACUGUGUCCCUUGAGUGUCGGAGAGGUAAUCGGAAUUCCUUGUGUAGCGGUGAAAUGCGUAGAUAUAAGGAAGAACACCAGUGGCGAAGGCGGAUUACUGGACGAUAACUGACGGUGAGGCGCGAAAGCGUGGGGAGCAAACAGGAUUAGAUACCCGGGUAGUC